rnacentral:rRNA from 1 species
AGUGAACGCUGGCGGCAGGCCUAACACAUGCAAGUCGAGCGGCAGCGCGGGGGCAACCCUGGCGGCGAGCGGCGGACGGGUGAGGAAUGCGUCGGAAUCUGCCUCUUUGUGGGGGAUAACGUAGGGAAACUUACGCUAAUACCGCAUACGACCUACGGGUGAAAGUGGGGGACCGCAAGGCCUCACGCAGAGAGAUGAGCCGACGCCGGAUUAGCUAGUUGGCGGGGUAAAGGCCCACCAAGGCGACGAUCCGUAGCUGGUCUGAGAGGAUGAUCGGCCACACUGGAACUGAGACACGGUCCAGACUCCGACGGGAGGCAGCAGUGGGGAAUAUUGGACAAUGGGCGCAAGCCUGAUCCAGCCAAGCCGCGUGUGUGAAGAAGGCCUUAGGGUUGUAAAGCACUUUUGUCCGGAAAGAAAAGCAUUCGGUUAAUAACCGGGUGUCAUGACGGUACCGGAAGAAUAAGCACCGGCUAACUUCGUGCCAGCCGCCGCAGUAAAAC